ACCUGCGGCUGGAUCACCUCCUUAAUCGAAGACAUCAGCUUCUUCAUAAGUUCCCACACGAAUUGCUUGAUUCAUUGCGAAGACGAUUGGGUCUGUAGCUCAGUUGGUUAGAGCGCACCCCUGAUAAGGGUGAGGUCGGCAGUUCGAAUCUGCCCAGACCCACCAAUGUUGUGUGGGGCGCAGGCUUCAAGACAUUGGGGCCAUAGCUCAGCUGGGAGAGCGCCUGCCUUGCACGCAGGAGGUCAGCGGUUCGAUCCCGCUUGGCUCCACCACCACUCGUCAUGCUUUAGAGUUCAGAAAUGAACAUUUCUGCGUCAGCAGUUGAAUGUUGAUUUCUGGUCUUUACCAGUAUCGUUCUUUAAAAAUUUGGGUAUGUGAUAGAAAUAGACUGAGUGAUCACUUUCACUGGUGAUUGUUCAGGCUAAGGUAAAAUUUGCGAGUAGCUCGUAAGAGCAAAAUGCGGAUUUUCGGCGAAUGUCGUCUUCACGUUAUUAGACAAUAACCAGAUUGCUUGGGGUUAUAUG
rnacentral:tRNA from 1 species